ensembl:lncRNA
CUGGGGGAGGUGAGUUCAGGGCUGCGAGUCAGGAGACCUGUGUUCCAGGCCCAGUCCUGACCGGGAGGACGUGGACAUCAGGCGACUAGGGGGAGGCCAAACUACAGCCACCAGCCCCGGGAGCAUCAAACCACAGGAGAGGUUCCAGCCCAGCUGCCAUGCUCUGGUCCUACCCCUCAACUGUACUGACACCCAGCCCUGCUGAGGAAUCCACGGAGACUUGCUGACUGGCAGGCUCUGGCCUUGGCUUGGUCCCCUUUCUCCCUUCCUGCCUCCUCCUGCCCACGGAGGACCUAUCGUCCUGAUGAGGAACUCCUUUGAAAAAAGACAAAGCAGGAUCCACCCUGCCAGAUCCCGAAGCAAAGAGUGGGAUAUCAGAAACCCAGAUGCCAAUGACUGCAUCAGGAGGCCGGAUGGAUGGAGAUGCAGAAACCGAUAGGGCAGUGCGCUCUGUGCUUGGAGGUAGUCCAGGAGAAACAAACCCACCACUGAUUCUGGGCUGCCUGCAGAGGCCCUGGCAUGGUAGCCUGCAGGGUACACCCCAGCACAGGCACUGCUUGGCCAGCAAUACCUGGCCAAGGUUAGAGAGAUUCCUGCUUUGGAUUAUUUUUCUCCAAUAUCAAACAUAUAUCUUUUAAAAAGUAAAUUGAACAUAUAUAACUUGGGGUCUUUAUUUUCAAUAUAUAUGAGGUUUUUUUUUUUUCUUUUUUUUAAUUAAAAGGGUUUACUGGGCAACUUAAAAUCCACUUAACCUUUCCUUUUUUAACCUUCCAUUCUAUUUUAUUGGAAGACUGGAAAGUAAAGGGAAGUGUUGUAGUAUUCAUAUUCCCAGAGAAUCUCCCAGAUCACUGUAGUGACAAAGCACUCGGAUAAGGAGACUUGAGUCUCCCCUAACAGUUCUUCACUGGGUAUAUCUCAUCCUUUCUGGACUCCAGUUUCCUCACCUGAAGGAGCCCUCUAUUACCUUUAAGGGUUCCUGUAGCAUCUAUUUCUGCUUUAUUGACUAUGCCAAAGCCUUUGACUGUGU